rnacentral:rRNA from 3 species
UUGACCUCGGAUCAGGUAGGGAUACCCGCUGAACUUAAGCAUAUCAAUAAGCCG